AUUUAAAGUAUGGUGCGGCAUUAACGUCCAUACAGCAAUUUAAUUUGUGAAUUUACUUUACAGCAAAUUAACCUAUUUUAAAGGGUGGUGCGGGAUUAUCGUCCACGCCUUUACUGUCAUUUAAAGUAUGGUGCGGCAUUAACGUCCAUACAGCAAUUUAAUUUGUGAAUUUACUUUACAGCAAAUUAACCUACUUUAAAGGGUGGUGCGGGUUUAUCGUCCACGCCUUUACUGUUAUUUAAAUGUAUGGAGCAGAAUUAGUGCCCAUACAAGCACAUUUACUUUACCGCACAUUUAAAGUAUGGUGCGGGAUUAACGUCCAUACAAGUAAUUUAUUUAAACGGUAAAUUUAUUUUAUGGAUUAAUUGUGCUGUAUGAUGAGUUUUUACAGUAUACAGAUCAUGACCAGAAGUUCCUUGAUCCUCAUCAUACAUUUACAUUAGGACUUGAAGAUCCUUGAUGAUGAUAUUGAUAUGAGAGCUGGCAGUCUCUCCGGUACUAUAUUUGUAAACAUGUGAUCGGACUUAAGGGUCCUUGAUCCCUGACAUGUGAAUAAGGACCUGGGUUUCCUUAAUGAUGUAACAGUACCGUAUUGGUUAAAAGUGCCGUACACAUGAAUAAUAACUGUACUGGCAAAUGUACUGCACAUA
rnacentral:lncRNA from 1 species